UACGUAGGGUGCAAGCGUUGUCCCGGAAUUAUUGGGCGUAAAGAGCUCGUAGGCGUUUGUCGCGUCUGCUGUGAAAACGCGAGGCUCAACCUCGCGCCUGCAGUGGGUACGGGCAGACUAGAGUGCGGUAGGGGGAGAUUGGAAUUCCUGUGUAGCGGUGGAAUGCGCAGAUAUCAGGAGGAACACCGAUGGCGAAGGCAG
rnacentral:rRNA from 1 species